rnacentral:lncRNA from 1 species
CUUUGUUUAUUUCAUAUUUCUUGAUAUGCCAAAAUUGGAUGUUUUACAGACUGAGUUUUAUCUAUUACAUUCUAAAUAUCAUUUGUGUAUUUCACCGGCUAAUAUAAUAAUAUAUAAAUAUAUACACAACCAAAUUGGUGGACAACCGCGGAACAAAUCGAAAUCUUAUUAAGUCGUGCAAUACUGGUGCAGCCCUGUAAAAGAAUUCAGUCUGACUACACUAUCCUACCAAUAAAUUUAUCCUCCGGUGAAAUAAAUAUAUUGAUAUUAUCUGAAUUUAACAGACAGAUCACGAUCUAAUAUAAUUGCAACCCUGCUGUCGUUGAAAUGAAUGACAUAGAAAAUAAACAAGUAUUAAAAAUACAACUGACAACAUACCAUUAUAAUUGAAAAUGACUGUUUGUAACGACAAAAGUCCUCGUGUGAAUGGGCCAAUCUGCGUACGUUCUAAUGAAACGGCUCAAAAUUUCUGGAAGAAAGAGAACCAGAACACUCAAGGCUAUGGUAGAAGCAACUACGAAGAGAUCCAGCUCAGUUUGGUCAAGGAAGAAUGGCAUAAUUUUGCCCUACAGUUCAAUCGGCGAAAUUGGUUUACAACAUCUAAAGUAACUGUAAUUGGCCAUCAAGGUGACGAGCUGACAGAAAUGUUAUGACGUCGGACAAAAUACUUAGCAGCAUUUCGUUUGUCUUUAUGGUCUGAGUUCCGUCGAGGUCGACUUUGCCUUUCAUCCUUUCGGGGUCAAUGAAAUAAGUACAAGUUGAGCAUUGAAGCCGGUGUAAUCAACUGUCCCCCACUCUACUAAAAUUUCAGGCCUGUGCUUAUAGUACAAAGGAUUAUUAUUAUUCGGUUGAAUAACGGUUAGCAUGGUGGCUUUCCAAGCAGUCGAUCCUGGUUCGACUCCCAGCCGACACAUCCUUUUAUUUUUGAUAAAAGAAAUCUUCAUACUGGGAUCGAUGUAAUCGAC